rnacentral:rRNA from 1 species
AGAGUUUGAUCCUGGCUCAGGACGAACGCUGGCGGCGCGCCUAACACAUGCAAGUCGAACGAGCGAGAGAGAGCUUGCUUUCUCAAGCGAGUGGCGAACGGGUGAGUAACGCGUGAGGAACCUGCCUCAAAGAGGGGGACAACAGUUGGAAACGACUGCUAAUACCGCAUAAGCCCACGGCUCGGCAUCGAGCAGAGGGAAAAGGAGCAAUCCGCUUUGAGAUGGCCUCGCGUCCGAUUAGCUAGUUGGUGAGGUAAUGGCCCACCAAGGCGACGAUCGGUAGCCGGACUGAGAGGUUGAACGGCCACAUUGGGACUGAGACACGGCCCAGACUCCUACGGGAGGCAGCAGUGGGGAAUAUUGCACAAUGGGGGAAACCCUGAUGCAGCGACGCCGCGUGGAGGAAGAAGGUCUUCGGAUUGUAAACUCCUGUUGUUGAGGAAGAUAAUGACGGUACUCAACAAGGAAGUGACGGCUAACUACGUGCCAGCAGCCGCGGUAAAACGUAGGUCACAAGCGUUGUCCGGAAUUACUGGGUGUAAAGGGAGCGCAGGCGGGAAGACAAGUUGGAAGUGAAAUCUAUGGGCUCAACCAUAAACUGCUUUCAAAACUGUUUUUCUUGAGUAGUGCAGAGGUAGGCGGAAUUCCCGGUGUAGCGGUGGAAUGCGUAGAUAUCGGGAGGAACACCAGUGGCGAAGGCGGCCUACUGGGCACCAACUGACGCUGAGGCUCGAAAGUGUGGGUAGCAAACAGGAUUAGAUACCCUGGUAGUCCACACCGUAAACGAUGAUUACUAGGUGUUGGAGGAUUGACCCCUUCAGUGCCGCAGUUAACACAAUAAGUAAUCCACCUGGGGAGUACGACCGCAUGGUUGAAACUCAAAGGAAUUGGGGGGGGCCCGCACAAGCAGUGGAGUAUGUGGUUUAAUUCGACGCAACGCGAAGAACCUUAUCAAGUCUUGACAUCCUGCGACGCACAUAGAAAUAUGUGUUUCCUUCGGGACGCAGAGACAGGUGGUGCAUGGUUGUCGUCAGCUGGUGUCGUGAGAUGUUGGGUUAAGUCCCGCAACGAGCGCAACCCUUACUGUCAGUUACUACGCAAGAGGACUCUGGCAGGACUGCCGUUGACAAAACGGAGGAAGGUGGGGAUGACGUCAAAUCAUCAUGCCCUUUAUGACUUGGGCUACACACGUACUACAAUGGCGUUAAACAAAGAGAAGCAAGACCGCGAGGUGGAGCAAAACUCAGAAACAACGUCCCAGUUCGGACUGCAGGCUGCAACUCGCCUGCAAGAAGUCGGAAUUGCUAGUAAUCGUGGAUCAGCAUGCCACGGUGAAUACGUUCCCGGGCCUUGCACACACCGCCCGUCA